CCUACGGGAGGCAGCAGUGAGGAAUAUUGGUCAAUGGGCGGAAGCCUGAACCAGCCAAGUAGCGUGCGGGAUGAAGGCCCUACGGGUCGUAAACCGCUUUUGCACGGGGAUAACACCCUCCACUUGCGGAGGUCUGCAGGUACCGUGCGAAUAAGGGCCGGCUAAUUCCGUGCCAGCAGCCGCGGUAAUACGGAGGGCCUGAGCGUUAUCCGGAUUCAGUGGGCGAAAGGGGAGCGUAGGUGGGCGUUCAAGUCAGCUGUAAAAUCGCGCGGCUCAACCGCGCCCCGCAGUUGAAACUGGUCGCCUUGAGUUCACAAGAGGCAGGCGGAAUUCGUGGUGUAGCGGUGAAAUGCAUAGAUAUCACGAGGAACCCCGAUUGCGAAGGCAGCCUGCCGGGGUGCGACUGACGCUGAGGCUCGAAGGUGCGGGUAUCAAACAGGAUUAGAUACCCUGGUAGUC
rnacentral:rRNA from 1 species